AACGAACGCUGGCGGCAUGCCUAACACAUGCAAGUCGAACGCCUGUAGCAAUACAGGAGUGGCGCACGGGUGAGUAACGCGUGGGAACCUGCCCUGGAGUGGGGGAUAACCGAGAGAAAUUUCGGCUAAUACCGCAUACGUCCUGAGGGAGAAAGAUUUAUCGCUCUAGGAGGGGCCCGCGUCGGAUUAGCUAGUUGGUGGGGUAAUGGCCUACCAAGGCAACGAUCCGUAGCUGGUCUGAGAGGAUGAUCAGCCACACUGGGACUGAGACACGGCC
rnacentral:rRNA from 1 species